GGGGAUGUAGCUCAGUGAUAGAGCGUCCGCUUUGCAUGCGGAAGGCCAGGGGUUCGAUCCCCCGCAUCUCCA